AGUGAACGCUGGCGGUAGGCCUAACACAUGCAAGUCGAACGGCAGCACAGUAAGAGCUUGCUCUUACGGGUGGCGAGUGGCGGACGGGUGAGGAAUACAUCGGAAUCUACUUUUUCGUGGGGGAUAACGUAGGGAAACUUACGCUAAUACCGCAUACGACCUACGGGUGAAAGCAGGGGAUCUUCGGACCUUGCGCGAUUGAAUGAGCCGAUGUCGGAUUAGCUAGUUGGCGGGGGAAAGGCCCACCAAGGCGACGAUCGGUAGCUGGUCUGAGAGGAUGAUCAGCCACAUGGGAACUGAGAAACGUCCCAGACACCGACGGGAGGCAGCGGUGGGGAAUAUUGGACAAUGGGCGCAAGCCUAAUCCAGCCAUACCGCGUGGGUGAAGAAGGCCUUCGGGUUGUAAAGCCCUUUUGGUGGGAAAGAAAAGCAGCAGGUUAAUACCCCGCUGUUCUGACGGUACCCAAAGAAUAAGCACCGGCUAACUUCGUG
rnacentral:rRNA from 1 species